GGUCAAGCUACUAAGGGCAUACGGUGGAUGCCUUGGUGUCAGGAGGCGAUGAAGGACGUGGUAAGCUGCGAUAAGCCUCGGGGAGCCGCUAAACAGGCUUAGAUCCGGGGAUCUCCGAAUGGGAAAACCCAUAUCGAGUAAUAUCGGUAUAUCCCGUCAUGAAUCCAUAGUGACGGGAGGCGAACGAGGGGAACUGAAACAUCUCAGUACCUUCAGGAAGAGAAAUCAAAUGAGAUUCCCUGAGUAGUGGCGAGCGAAAGGGGAAGAGCCUAAAUUCCGUAUAUGUUAAAGCCUGUGAGCGUUGUAUGCGGGAGGUUGCGGGAUCCUAUCAGAAGUCAUCACAGUGACUUCGGGGUGAUUUCAUUUCCAUAGUUGAACCUACUGGAAAGUGGGGCCAUAGAGGGUGAUAGCCC
rnacentral:rRNA from 1 species